AUGAGGGGGAGGAAGGGAAUGCCAUCGAGGUGCCGACGAGGACAGAGGAGGGAGAAUCAGGUGAGGGCGGGUGCGAGAUCGCCGUAUCCCUGGCGAUCGGCGCCGUGCGGCGCCGGACUUCGCUGCGCUGGUUGCUGGCACCUAGGAGGGACGGGACAGCAAAAUCGGUGCUCAUCGAAGAUGGCGUUGGUACCACUUACCCGACAACACAGUUCUGCGGAAGCUUUUUCGUAUACCAAGACACUUCUCCGUACAUGA
rnacentral:rRNA from 1 species